CGCGGCCAAGAGCCUGGAGCGCGGCGAGCGGCUGGUCUGCCACGAGGAGCUGAGUGUGCAGGUUGGAAAUCAUCUUGUUGUUCACCAUCCAAACGAUAGGCUUCCUCUGUUUCAACUCCAGCACACACUCUUGGAUAUAUAACACCUUUAUGAUUCAAUGUGUCGUAAGUGGGGAUUAACAACUAUUCUGUGCAAAUGAGAGAGUGUCUUGUGUGUGUUUCCUUCUUUAUGUGGAAAGCAGCAGACUCCAGACACCAUUUCAAUCAAGGAUGAAGAGGAUAUUGGUGGAGGCAGUCCCGCUGUAGGAGACGGCAGUGACAUUAGAGACCGCAGCACGCAGCGCGGCGCCACCUCGGAGAGUCUGCGUGUGGACGCCCCUGGCUCCUCCCACAUGUCAAGUCACAGCGGGGAGCUGCGGAUCCUGAGCGUCUACGGACAAGAGGAGGGCCCACCGGCGAUGGUAGGCGGUGUAGCCUGCAUGUUCAAGAGAGAAAGAAAGCAAACAAUAACAAUACGUAAAAUUUAAAAGAAAAUAAAUGUCAUGAACUACACAA